GCUGGGGUGGUCUAGUGGUAAGACGCUGGGACAGCAGCUACCGGAGAUCGUCGGUUCGAAUCCGACCCUUGGCG